GCUGGGCAUGUUGGCUCAUGCCUGUAAUCCAAGCACUUUGGAGGCUGAGGCAGGCGGAUCACCUGAGGUUGGGAGUUCAAGACCAGCCUGACUAACAUGGUGAAACCCUGUCUUUAUAAAAAAAAAAGAAAGAAAGAAAAAAAAAUUUUUUUCUUUUUUUCUUUUAAAGAUGCGGUUUCACUAUGUUGGCCAGGCUGGUCUUGAACUCCCGACCUCAGGUGAUUCACCCACCUCGG
rnacentral:sRNA from 1 species